GGCUUAUUGAUUAUAAUUUUAGGUCUGGCCUGCCCACUGAGUGGUUAAAUGGCCGCGGUAUAUUGACCGUGCAAAGGUAGCAUAGUCAUUAGUUUUUUAAUUGAAAGCUUGAAUGAAAGGUACGAUGAAAAAGUAGCUGUCUCUAUAAGAGUUUAUUAGAAUUUUAUUUCUAAGUUAAAAAGCUUAGAUGAUUUUAGAAGACGAGAAGACCCUAUAGAGUUUUAUAUCUGUGUUGGUAGCUGGAUUUGUAGAUUGUAUUAUUUGGUUACUAGGACGUAUAUUUUGUUGGGGUGAUAGGAAAAUUUAUUAAACUUUUCUUUUAUUUAAAUAUUUAUUUUUAUGUUUAUGAUCCUAAAGUUUAGAUUGGAAGAUUAAAUUACCUUAGGGAUAACAGCGUAAUUAUUUUUAGAGUUCUUAUCGAAAAAAUAGAUUGCGACCUCGAUGUUGGAUUAAAAUGAAUUGCUGGUGUAGAAGCUAGUAGUGUAGGUCUGUUCGACCUUUAAAAUUUUACAUGAUCUGAGUUUAAACCGGUGUGAG
rnacentral:rRNA from 1 species